rnacentral:tRNA from 4 species
GGCGACGUAGCCAAGCGGUAAGGCAGAGGUCUGCAAAACCUUUAUUCAGCGGUUCAAAUCCGCUCGUCGCCUCCA